AGAAUCAACGCUGGCGGCGUGCCUAACACAUGCAAGUCGAACGAGAAAGGGUAGCAAUACCUGAGUAAAGUGGCGCACGGGUGAGUAACACGUGACUAACCUACCUUUUAGUGGGGGAUAACCUAGGGAAACCUGGGCUAAUACCGCAUAAUACCUACGGGUCAAAGCAGCAAUGCGCUGAAUGAGGGGGUCGCGGUCGAUUAGUUAGUUGGCAGGGUAAUGGCCUACCAAGACUGUGAUCGAUAUCCGGCCUGAGAGGGCGCACGGACACACUGGAACUGAAACACGGUCCAGACUCCUACGGGAGGCAGCAGUGGGGAAUUUUGCGCAAUGGGGGAAACCCUGACGCAGCAACGCCGAGUGGAGGAUGAAGUCCCUUGGGACGUAAACUCCUUUCGAUCGGGACGAUAAUGACGGUACCGGAAGAAGAAGCCCCGGCUAACUUCGUGCCAGCAGCCGC
rnacentral:rRNA from 1 species